GCCAGACUCCUACGGGAGGCAGCAGUGAGGAAUAUUGGUCAAUGGUCGGGAGACUGAACCAGCCAAGCCGCGUGAGGGAUGAAGGUACAGAGUAUCGUAAACCUCUUUUGUCAGGGAACAAAGGCGGGGACGUGUCCCCGGAUGAGUGUACCUGAAGAAAAAGCAUCGGCUAACUCCGUGCCAGCAGCCGCGGUAAUACGGAGGAUGCGAGCGUUAUCCGGAUUUAUUGGGUUUAAAGGGUGCGCAGGCGGUCUGUUAAGUCCGCGGUCAAAGCCCGGGGCUCAACCCCGUCGUGCCGUUGAAACUGGCGUUCUUGAGUGAGCGAGAAGUAUGCGGAAUGCGUGGUGUAGCGGUGAAAUGCAUAGAUAUCACGCAGAACUCCGAUUGCGAAGGCAGCAUACCGGCGCUCAACUGACGCUCAUGCACAAAAGCGUGGGUAUCGAACAGGAUUAGAUACCCCCGUAAAA
rnacentral:rRNA from 1 species